GCUCCGGUGGUCUAGCCCGGUCAAGGAUACCGGCCUCUCGAGCCGGUGGUCCCGGGUUCAAAUCCCGGCCGGAGCA
rnacentral:tRNA from 2 species